UACGGGGGGGGCAAGCGUUGUUCGGAAUUACUGGGCGUAAAGGGUUCGUAGGUGGCCAACUCAGUCAGACGUGAAAUCCCUCAGCUCAACUGGGGAGCUGCGUCUGAUACUAGAUGGCUCGAGUGCAGGAGAGGAACGCGGAAUUCCAGGUGUAGCGGUGAAAUGCGUAGAUAUCUGGAGGAGCACCGGUGGCGAAGGCGGCGUUCUGGACUGCAACUGACACUGAGGAACGAAAGCCAGGGGAGCAAACGGG
rnacentral:rRNA from 1 species